CCAUUCGUGGUGUAGUGGUUAGCAUGCUCGACGCGUAACCGAGAUGUCCCGAGUUCGAUUCUCGGCGAAGGCA
rnacentral:tRNA from 1 species